UGGGGAAUAUUGCACAAUGGGCGCAAGCCUGAUGCAGCCAUGCCGCGUGUGUGAAGAAGGCCUCGGUUGUAAAGCACUUUCAGCGAGGAGGAAGGUGGUGAGCUUAAUACGCUCAUCAAUUGACGUUACUCGCAGAAGAAGCACCGGCUAACUCCGUGCCAGCAGCCGCGGUAAUACGGAGGGUGCAAGCGUUAAUCGGAAUUACUGGGCGUAAAGCGCACGCAGGCGGUUUGUUAAGUCAGAUGUGAAAUCCCCGGGCUCAACCUGGGAACUGCAUUUGAAACUGGCAAGCUAGAGUCUCGUAGAGGGGGGUAGAAUUCCAGGUGUAGCGGUGAAAUGCGUAGAGAUCUGGAGGAAUACCGGUGGCGAAGGCGGCCCCCUGGACGAAGACUGACGCUCAGGUGCGAAAGCGUGGGGCAGCAAACAGGAUUAGAUAUCCCUGGUAGUCCACGCUGUAAACGAUGUNGAAUUUUGGAGGUUGUGCCCCUUGAGGCGUGGCUUCCGAGCUAACGCGUUAAAUCGACCGCCUGGGGAGUACGGCCGCAAGG
rnacentral:rRNA from 1 species